rnacentral:lncRNA from 1 species
CUCUCGCCACCACCAGUAGUUAAUAAGAAACCUGGUGACCUGAGCAAAAUAUAUUUCUAACCAAUAUCAUUUUUUUUCAUCUAGCAAACAUUUAAGCCUAGUAAGUGCUGUUCAUUUUGCUGUUACCAAUAAUACACCUUACAAUAGCAGCUACUAGUUCUUGAAUUCUUCUUGGUAGGUCCUACAUUAACACUGGCAAGGAUUAUCUCAUGUUAUCUUUACUUGUGUGGUAGAGACUAUAAUUGUGUCCAGUUGCCAAAUGAGGAAAGCAAGGCUUGGAGAGGUUCCAUUACAUUUGCCGUGGGCAUAUAGCCAGUAGCUGAUGUGUAGAUCAGGGAUUUAAACACAAUGCUGUCUGUGCUGGGCCUUCAGGAGGGUGGGUGAGUAUAUGUGGCUGAACAGUGCAUGCUGGGUACAUGGGAGGGAGCCACAUGCUGCAGGGGAGGGAGAGCGGGUGCAGUGUGACUUUGGUGGGGAUGUGGUUGACAGAGAAGAUAUGUCUUGGAGAAUGAGUGAGGGUUUAUCAGUCAGAGGAAGGGAAUUUCAUGCAUUUUGGGAGGAGGUAGGAGCGGAGGUGGAGAGAGCCACUGUUUUGACCUCUUGUAACUUUGGAGUUCUGGGGUUUUGGCUUUUCAGAGUCACACACCCUCCAGACCACGGUUGUCUGUGAGUUGCUGGGGAACCGGAGCAGCUGGGGACACUGGCACUACAACUGUGAUGGCCAGGACUCCCUUCUUAGCACACUUGAGUCUUUCAACUCCAGCAAAAGCCAGCCAGAACCAAGCAUAGCUGCAGAAGGAGAGAAGGGAAGGAAACAAUCCUUCCUGACCUAGAGCUGCGUCUACCCUCUCCGGAAACACCUGAAAGCUGGGGUGGGACCACGGCCCACCGUAGGUGUGAUAGGUGCGGACUGGUUCAUGUGGGGAAGGUGGAGGAGCUGAGGGCACUGUGGGAGGGAUGGAGUGCAGGCCCCUCAGCCAGCCUUCAAAACUCCAUUUCAAUACCCAUGUCCUAAAUGAACACAGCUCUGUUGCUGACCGUCCUAGCCACUCUGCUUUCCUUCCCUCUCCCGUGCUUGGUCAGCCCUUUUCCCACUUGGUGUUCAAGUUCUGACCCAGGGCUGAGCACCCAAGGGCUCUCAAGGUGGGGCAUCACCUACAGUCACCAUGGAACACAGUGGAAUGGUGCCUAAAGCCCUGGUGUGGAGGAUGUACGGCAGCUUGAUAGGACCAGAGGCAGCCAGUUUGUCUGGGAGGUCUUUGCCACCACUUUUCCCUGUCCCGCUAGCCCCCUUGGUGCAUGGGACUCUCUGCAAAGCCCCUGGAGAGGAGCCAUCCCAACAUGCUAGGCCCUUGACUUCUAUCCUCCAGUGUCCAGCUAACUUAGCUGAGGGAUGGGCUGCCCCAGCCCCUGAGUCCCUGGAACCCUAAGCCACUUGCCCCCUUGCAUGGCGCUGCUCAGAUGCCCAGAGCCAGCAGUCUGCUGUGAUCCCUUUGACGUGAGCAUAGGCUCUCCUGUCUGGUGAUGCACCAGGCUGAUGCUGAGUCUCUGUGCAACCUCAGAUGAGCAGCUGGGGUUUGGAGGCAUGUAGCAAUGCAGUUGCCGAGUGCAGUGGCUCGAUCUCAGCUCACUGCACCCUCUGCUGCCUGAGUUCAAGCGAUUUUUGUUUCUCAGCCUCCUGAGUAGCUGGGAUUACAGGCAUGCACCACCACAUGCAAAAAAAACAAAACAAACAAACAAAAAAACCACCUUUUGGUAUUUUUAGUAGAGACAGGGUUUCACCAUGUUGGCCAGGCUGGUCUCGAACUGCUGAUCUGAAGUGAUCCGCCCGCCUCAGCCUCCUAAAGUGCUGGGAUUAUAGGCAUGAGCCACCGCUCCCGGCCUCCUCCUAUAUCUCUUGAUCAAACUUCAGGGGAAAACCUGCCAGAUUCCCCAGGAAGGAUGCUUGGAGGUAGGUGGCAGGGUACAGGGAGGCCUAUGCCAACUUCUCAUUGAACACCACUCCCAGCUUUCCUACCCCCAUUUCUCUUCACAGGUGUGCAGAGAAGUCUACAUUCCCAUGUCAAGUAAGGGGGGUGGGUAGAUGGGAGGGCAUAUGAGAGCGGGGCAGCAAUUUUAUGUCUGAGUUGGAAGGAAGUUUAGAGUUCAUUGAGUCCAAAUCCUCUUUACUAGGUGAGGAAACUGAGGCACAGGAGGGGGAGGUGCCAUUAGCCAGGGAGUCAGAGCCAGGACUUAGAACCUGGUCCAUGCCUCCUAGUUUGUUCCUGACCAAUCCUCCCAGCUCACCCACUCCUUUUGCUCUCACCUCUGACUCCCUACAGGCUACAGCUAGAGAGUUGACUCCUCUAUUUGAGAUUGACAGGCCUCGGAAGUCAAAAUAAGUGGUUUCCUAGACCGGGUCGAGAGCAAGUCUCUAUUGGUCCCAACUGAGUUUUUUCAGCUGGUUUUUCAACCAAACAGCACCUCAUCUCCCAGUGAGGGGAAGGGAAGGCUGGGCUGAGAGCAGCAAGGCUGCUCAUCUCACCUCUCCCCACCCAGCCAUGCCAGCCGCCUCACCUGGUGGGGAGAGGUGGGCCUCACCUGGGUCCCCUGGCAGUGCUCUGUGAAGGGUCUUGACAUUGCACUGUAAUAAUAAAGGUGUGUGUGAAGUAUCUUUUUAUGGUGACUUUCUAAAACCCAGGGAAUCAUGGGACCAGUUCUGAUGACUCAGCCUGGCUUCCAGUCUCCUCCAGGCCCAACGGUGGCCCCCAGCACUGGUUGGGGCCUGGGAGAGCUGGCCUUGGCUGAAGUGAAGCCACCUACCCUUCAGGCAUAACAGGACAGUGAGAAGGAAGGAAAGCCUGCCUCAACCUCCCAUCAGCCCUGAGCACCCCAGAAGGGGGCCGGCUAGGAGUCUAGGCAUGCAGGAGGCUGACCCCUGACUGGGCUCAUAUCCAGC